ACAAGAAUGGUAUUCCGUUUUGUCCAACUCUCCCCUAUAGACUUGUUUUGCGGAGAGCGUCCUCCAAAAAAUUUCGACCAGCUACGCUUAUGUUAUUCACAUAUUAUAUUCUGGUACCAGAUUUAGCUGACAUAGACUAAUAAGAUUUAAUUGGAAUUUUCUAUGACGUAAAUAUUAGCACCUUAUUUUUUAAGGUAUUACUUUUUAUUGUAAACAAAGACGAAAAAACUGGGGAUUUUUUUAAAAUAGUGUCUAUAAAUAACAGUAGUCGAUAAUAAUUGUCGAUAUAUUAUAGAAAAAAUUUAGAUAGAAGAAUUAUUUUUUUCAGAUUAAAAAGCAAAGCAACUGAUGAGAACACCGGCACCAUGACUGACUGGGCUGAUGUCCUUUUGCACAAAGUGAAGGCAAAUGUUUUUAAUACCCACACAAUAAAUAAAUUAUCAUUAUAGGAAACCGGAAGGUGCUAACGAAGUCUUAAUUGUCUACCGACAAUAUCUCAGAAGUGUUCAAUAGGAAUCAUGUCGAGACUGUGAGGGGUCCAAUUCAAUAUCUGAAUAUUUACUUCACUUAAAUCUGGAGUAGACAUGCUAUACGAGACUAUAUCUUAUCAUACACUAAGAUGAAAUUAUUUCCUGUAUAAAGUGCGAAAUAAAUAAAGUACUCAAAGAAA
rnacentral:lncRNA from 1 species